GGCGAGGUGGCCGAGUGUUUAAGGGGAUGGACUGUUAAUCCAUUGUGCUCUGCAUGCAUGGGUCCAAAUCCCGUCCUUGUCA